CAUUUCUUUCUAUAUAUAGAUUCUGUCAUUCCUGUAUUUCUGCAAGUGUAAAGCAUAAUGCGUGGACGUGCCCUUACUGCCGCGCUUAUCUUCCUUCUGAAGGAAUUCCAGCCACUGAUGUUGCCAAGAAGAUGGAGAGCACAUACCGAAAUUACACAGAAUGCGAAACACAGGUAUGUCUGAGUGAAAUGAGAGCUCAUUUAAGAACUUGCGAAAAAUAUAUAGAAAAAUAUGGACCUGUACAGGAGCCUGGAGCUGCUGUAACAAGAUGUUCCUGUCCUUACUGCCAGUGCGAAGUAGAUGAGGAUGAGCUAAUGGACCACUGUCUGUCUCACCACAGAUCGGAAAGGAGAGCAGUGUGUUGUCCAAUUUGUUGUUUAACACCUGGGAGAGAUCCAAGCUAUUUCAGCAGAAAUUCUAUAAGGCAUCUUCAACUCAGACAUAUACUCCAUUAUGAAGACUACAUAGACAUAAACACUGUUGGAGAAGUUCUUGUUGAAUGAGUUCUGGAUGGGUCAUUCUUAGAAUAUGUGCAUGAGAGUCAUCCAAACAGUGUCUCCGUUCCAGGAGCAGGCCAGUCUUGAGCACAUUGAUGAUGACAAUGCAAUGCUGGAGGCAGAUGACAAACAACAGCUUUUCAGAUGCUACAUGACCAAACAAAUUGGAACAAAUCUGCCCUCAAAACAGUAUCGUGCCUACUGCCUACUGUCAAGGACUGCACGUAAGUUUCCAUUUACAGUGCAAGAUGAGACUCAAAAUUAGCAAAGUUGGUAAGGGAAAGCCGUCUUGAAAGGAUAGCAAGAAGUGAAUCUUAUGUUUGUAAUAAAAAAAUAGAAACCUGUUCAAGAGAUUGACAGCGUCUUUUAACUA